CAGAGUUCAUGCCCUUCGGGGUAGACCUCCCACCCUUGUGUAUUCUUACCUUUGUUGCUUUGGUAGGCCGUCGAGCUCCGGCCCGGCUACCGGCUUAGGCUGGUAAGUGCCUACCAGAGGACCCCCAAACUCUGAAUGUUAGUGUCGUCUGAGUACUAUAUAAUAGUUA
rnacentral:misc_RNA from 1 species